GCCCGGUUAGUGUAACGGUAGCACGAGAGCCUCCAAAACUCUUUGUAAGGGUUCAAAUCCUUUACCGGGUG
rnacentral:tRNA from 1 species